rnacentral:lncRNA from 1 species
GUAAAUCCUCUUUUAAGAAAAGUAAUAUUGUUUCAUUUUUACAAUUUAUUCUCAAUAGCUGCAAAUGUUAAAUAACACCAAGAUUAAAAUCGCCAACAGCUAGUGUAUAGCUCGGUUGGUAUAGGCGGAUCCAAUUUUUUUUUUUGGGGGGGGGGGGCCCGGGUCCGGGUCCCCCGUUUGUGGGAUUUUUUUUAUUGAUUAUAUACCAUAAAGGGAAUAACUGACUGGAGAUACCCCUCACUUUAGUUCAGGCAGCACCCUGUCAUGUAUUUGUUUAAAAAAAAAAUAUAUAUUGCCAUUCACUCUAAAAAAAGAAGCUGAAUACGUAAAUCCUCUUUUAAGAAAAGUAACAUUGUUUCAUUUUUACAAUUUAUUUUCAAUACUGCAACCAAGAUUAAAAGCGCCAACAGCUAGUGUAUAGCUCGGUUGGUAUAUUUAAUAGAAAGAUAUUUGUAAAUAUGGUAAAUAAACUCAUCAUAAAUACCAGGAUUGAAAUUUUACAUUCACGACAGACGGGUAUUUCGUCUACAAAAGACUCAUCAUUGACGCUCGACUAAAAAAUGUUAAUAAGGCCAAAUGAAACUGACCAUUUAACUUAAAAAAUGGCGAAGUGCAAGCAUUUUUUUAGUUUUUUAAACGCUAUCCUCUUGACCACAUAAUGUGUUUUCAUCAAAAUUGGAAAUGAUAAUAUUUUAUAAAGAAAAAUCUUUACCUACGUCGCAUUAUAUAUACUAGUAUACUAACAUAUUGUGUUGUAAAAUGAUGCCCUUUAUGGGUUCUUGAUUAGAUUAAUAAAAAAUUCUAUACUAUUAACAAAUUCAAAAUAUACUGCUUUACAAAAAAGGUAAAACAACAGAUACAUUCAAGUCAAAUCUAUCUUAAUUUCUGUCAAGUUUUUCCAUUUUCAAGUAAAGAAAAUCACGCAUUAUGGUUCCAUUUAUUUCCUGUAAUAAUUAGAUCACUUGCAUACUUGUAACACACACACAAUAUGUAUUGUUUAUUUGUUGAAAUAUAUUAAAAUAUGCGCUGCUGAACUUAUAUUAGUCAGUAUAGUAUAUAGACGUGUAUACCAAAGACAAAUUUAUACAUUGUUUAAUUUCCUGUAGUGUUUGAUAAUGACCCAGUGACCUACAACUUUUAUAAUAAAUAAACCACAUAGACAACGCUUCUGAAUCAGUAUAAAAAGUAUGAAUUAUUUGUUAAACUAGUGUAAAAUGUGGUGUGAAAUAAUUGGUAAAGGCAACGAUAUCCGGCUAAUUAAAUUGACCCGAUGAGCUGACAUGAUGUUGAAUUUAUUUUGGA